UGGGGAAUUUUGGACAAUGGGGGCAACCCUGAUGCAGCGACGCCGCGUGAGCGAUGAAGCCCUUCGGGGUGUAAAGCUCUUUCGGCUGGAACGAUGAUGACGGUACCAGCAGAAGAAGCUGCGGCUAACUACGUGCCAGCAGCCGCGGUAAUACGUAGGCAGCGAGCGUUGUUCGGAGUUACUGGGCGUAAAGAGUGCGUAGGCGGUGCGGCAAGUCUGGUGUGAAAUCUCCCGGCUUAACUGGGAGGGUGCGCUAGAAACUGCCGUGCUAGAGUGUGGGAGAGGUAAGCGGAAUUCCUGGUGUAGCGGUGAAAUGCGUAGAUAUUAGGAAGAACACCCGUGGCGAAGGCGGCUUUUCUUGGCUUCGCAACUGACGCUGAGGCGCGAAAGCGUGGGGAGCAAACA
rnacentral:rRNA from 1 species